AGUGAACGCUGGCGGUAGGCCUAACACAUGCAAGUCGAACGGCAGCACAGUAAGAGCUUGCUCUUACGGGUGGCGAGUGGCGGACGGGUGAGGAAUACAUCGGAAUCUACUUUUUCGUGGGGGAUAACGUAGGGAAACUUACGCUAAUACCGCAUACGACCUACGGGUGAAAGCAGGGGAUCUUCGGACCUUGCGCGAUUGAAUGAGCCGAUGUCGGAUUAGCUAGUUGGCGGGGUAAAGGCCCACCAAGGCGACGAUCCGUAGCUGGUCUGAGAGGAUGAUCAGCCACACUGGAACUGAGACACGGUCCAGACUCCUACGGGAGGCAGCAGUGGGGAAUAUUGGACAAUGGGCGCAAGCCUGAUCCAGCCAUACCGCGCGGGUGAAGAAGGCCUUCGGGUUGUAAAGCCCUUUUGUUGGGAAAGAAAAGCAGCAGGUUAAUAACCCGCUGUUCUGACGGUACCCAAAGAAUAAGCACCGGCUAACUUCGUG
rnacentral:rRNA from 1 species